ACUUCCAGAAUUGGGGAGAAAGUGG
rnacentral:piRNA from 1 species